GAGACUCUGUGCGCGUGCAUAUCAAUAAGCGGAGGAAAAGAAACUAACAAGGAUUCCCUUAGUAACGGCGAGUGAAGCGGGAAGAGCUCAAAUUUGAAAUCUUCAAGGUUCUACCUUGACGAAUUGUAGUUUAUAGAAGUGUUUUCUGUUAGUGGAGUGGCAAAAGUUCUUAGGAAUAGGACAUCAUAGAGGGUGAGAAUCCCGUAUUUGGUCAUUCCUCCUAGCGUUGUGAUACACUUUCAACGAGUCGGAUUGUUUGGGAAUGCAGUCCAAAAUGGGUGGUAAAUUUCAUCUAAAGCUAAAUAUUGGCGAGAGACCGAUAGCGAACAAGUACCGUGAGGGAAAGAUGAAAAGAACUUUGAAAAGAGAGUUAAACAGUACGUGAAAGUUGUCAAAAGGGAAGCGUUUGACACCAGUGUUGUUUUUCCGAAAAUCAAUUACGAAUGUUUUAGUUUUUGAGGAGUUAUGACUUCAUCGGCUUGCUCCUUUCUUUACUGAAACUUUCUUAAUGCACUUUUCGGUUAACAAGUCAACAUCAAUUUCUUUUGUUGUAAAAGGGUAUGAGGAAGGUGGCUUUCUUUUCGGAGAAAGUGUUUAUAGCCUUGUGCCUCUGCAAUCGAAGAGAUUGAGGUCUGCAGCGUAGAUCCUUCGGGGUUAGAUACAUUUGUGCUAAGUUAUAGCUUUUCAUAGACAACUUGUUGACUAUGUUUAGUCUUGUAGCUUACUCGCUUACUGCUAUUUUACCUACGCUUAGGAUGUUGACAGCAGUAUAGACUGU
rnacentral:rRNA from 1 species